rnacentral:tRNA from 1 species
GCGGCUGUGGCGGAACUGGUAGACGCGCAGCGUUGAGGGCGCUGUGGGAGAAAUCCCGUGGAGGUUCAAGUCCUCUCAGCCGCACCA